GGAGAGAUGUCCGAGCGGUUUAAGGUGACAGUCUCGAAAACUGUUGUGGCGCAAGCCACCGGGGGUUCGAAUCCCCCUCUCUCCG
rnacentral:tRNA from 1 species